GAGACUGGGACACCAUCAGUGUGGAUCUGACCACCGAGGAGGGCCCCACAGUCCCCAUAGGCCCCAGCAGCCUGCCCUGGCUCUCCAUGUCCUGGCCCAGAUUGGAAGUAGUGCCCAGACUAUGCCCAGCUGCUGUCUCUCUGCCCUCAGGCCUUAGCCACCUCCUCCAGGAAGCCCUCCUUGUUUACCUGCCCCUACAAAGCUGUGCUCAGCAUGUGUGUGUGACCUCACAGCCCAUGUGUGUCUGCCACUGAGAGGACUAUGCCUCCACUUUGCAAGGGGAAGAGGCCAGGAAGGAGGCCCGGAAGGAAGUCGUGGGAGAGGCAAGGGGAGCCCAGCACGGAUGUGUGAGGAACCGACUGAAGCCUUGGCCUCCCUGCAUCAGAGAAACAUGAAUUUUCAUCCUAAAAUCCUCUCACAAUGAACCAAGCCUGGGAAGUUCCAUUGAACAUGGUGAGAGUCAGGGAAGCCGUGUGGCCUUAUGGGCUUGGCUUCUUCUUCUUUUAAUUAAAAGCAAUUUUCAGUAAAGUAA